GACGAACGCUGGCGGCGUGCUUAACACAUGCAAGUCGAACGGUAAGGCCCUUCGGGGUACACGAGUGGCGAACGGGUGAGUAACACGUGGGUGAUCUGCCCUGCACUUCGGGAUAAGCCUGGGAAACUGGGUCUAAUACCGAAUAGGACUCCGGAUCGCAUGGUCUGGGGUGGAAAGCUUUUGCGGUGUGGGAUGGGCCCGCGGCCUAUCAGCUUGUUGGUGGGGUGAUGGCCUACCAAGGCGACGACGGGUAGGCGGCCUGAGAGGGUGUCCGGCCACACUGGGACUGAGAUACGGCCCAGACUCCUACGGGAGGCAGCAGUGGGGAAUAUUGCACAAUGAGCGGACGCCUGAGGCAGCAACGCCGCGUGAGGGAUGACGGCCUUCGGGUUGUAAACCUCUUUUAGCAGGGAAGAAGCGCAAGUGACGGUACCUACAGAAGAAGGACCGGCCAACUACGUGCCAGCAGCCGCCGUAA
rnacentral:rRNA from 1 species